AUGAAACACUUUUUUUCCUGCCUUAAGGUUGGAAUCUGGAAAAUGCUCGUUCCCCGGGCCGAGCGCUUCCGCCGCGCGCUGAUCCCACCCGCCAAGCCCCGAAGGAGCCGGCGGCGCAGCGGCCCAGGCCCGGCCCCAGCACUGCUCCGGACUCCCGGUAGGGGGAGCCUCCCCGGGCGCGGGGCCAGCCCGGGUCCCGGCCUCCCCGCUCGGCCUCGCAGCCCGCGCGGCCGCCUCUCCACCUGCCCGUGGGGGAAGGGAGCCCCGCGCCGAGCCUGCCCCCAUCCCUGGCUGCUGCACCGCAGAGAAGACAGACACGACCGAAGUGCAUUCUUGAGGUCCAAAUAUAGGAGCGGCUCAGAAGCUUUCAUUUUAGGAUAUGACCAAUGUUCAGAGAACAACCCAAAUUCAGGGUGAAGGGGAAAGAAGUCAGACACACUGUGAACCCACAGAUCACUCUACUGUGCCCCGUGUGGUCGAACACCUGAGCUCGAGGGGCCAGAGAAUUCCUGGAGGAUACUCCGCAGAUAAAACCUGCAAGCUCCCCUUCUGCAAAAAGCCAUCCUUCCCGCAGGAAUCCACAGCGCAGAAGAGCUCUCAUAAGGCCAAGUCAUCAAGAGCUCUUCAGAGAGAAUUGCAUAAGCAAAGAAUUUCACACUUGGAAGGAAACUUAAAGACCACUUAGUCUAAUGGUUGUGGUUUACUGGUGAGGAGCUUGAGCUCAGUAGACGGGAGGCAGAUUCACACUCCAGGUGAGAAAAUCCCUGAAUGCGGAGUUGAGCCUCCAACUCUCCUCUUUUGACCCUCAGUCCAGGACUGUUUGGACCGCAGGACACCAGAAAUGCAUUUUACUGUUGUUGCUAUCCCGGUAAUUACGAAUAUAUUUCCACAUAGUUUAGAGUGCUUAGUAAGACAUACUUCUUUCAUAAUAUUGCAACAAUAGCAAAAUCUGCAAGGUCUGUGUGAAAAGAAUAUUACAGUUGGUUCAAGAGACGCUGAAUUUUGGAAGUGAAGUUGCAUAUAGCAUUGAGGCAUUUGGGGGAGAGACUAAACAAAAGUGGUUGUAUUGUUUUAUCCCAAUUUAAGAACAUGCAAUAUAUGCAAAUAUAUGAAUAAAUGAACAAAACAGUACA
rnacentral:lncRNA from 12 species